rnacentral:tRNA from 1 species
GGAGUGGAGCUCAGUGGCAGAGCACUUGCCUAGCAUGUACAAGGUCCUGGGUUCAAACCCCAGCACCACCU